rnacentral:lncRNA from 1 species
UUUUUUUUGAGAUGGAGUCUCGCUCUGUUGCCCAGGCUGGAGUGCAGUGGCACGAUCUUGGCUCACUGCAACCUCUGCCUCCCAGGUUCAAGCAAUUCUCUUGCCUCAGCUUCCCAAGUAGCUAGGAUUACAGGUGCCUGCAAAAUGUCUGGCUAAUUUUUCUAUUUUUAGUAGAGAUGAAGUUUCACAAUGUUGGCCAGGCUGGUCUCGAACUCCUAACA